UAAUAGUUAUGGUCUUGAAACUUAAAGAAUUUGGCGGUAAACUAAUUUACCUAGAGGAAUUUGUUAUGUAAUAGAUACUACACGUUUAACCUUACCUUAUUUUAUAGUUUGUCUAUCGCCGUUUAGAAUAUUUUUAAUGAAAUAAUUUUCUUUAAAUCAUAGUUGUUAAAUCAGGUCGAGGUGCAGCUUAUAAUAAGGGCUUCAAUGAAUUACAUUUUUUAGAAAAAAAAACGGAUAACUUUCUGCAAAGAUUUUUUGAAGGUGGAUUUAGAAGUAAAUUUAUAAUUAGUAAGUAAAAUUGAAUAAUUGACACUGGUUUAUGU
rnacentral:rRNA from 1 species